CCCCUGGUUGUCUAGUGGUUAGAACUCAGCAAUUUCACUGCUGUGAGCUUGGGUUUGAUCCCUGGUUAGGGAA
rnacentral:tRNA from 1 species